rnacentral:rRNA from 1 species
GACGAACGCUGGCGGCGUGCUUAACACAUGCAAGUCGAACGGAAAGGCCCUGCUUUUGUGGGGUGCUCGAGUGGCGAACGGGUGAGUAACACGUGAGUAACCUGCCCUUGACUUUGGGAUAACUUCAGGAAACUGGGGCUAAUACCGGAUAGGAGCUCCUGCUGCAUGGUGGGGGUUGGAAAGUUUCGGCGGUUGGGGAUGGACUCGCGGCUUAUCAGCUUGUUGGUGGGGUAGUGGCUUACCAAGGCUUUGACGGGUAGCCGGCCUGAGAGGGUGACCGGCCACAUUGGGACUGAGAUACGGCCCAGACUCCUACGGGAGGCAGCAGUGGGGAAUAUUGCACAAUGGGCGGAAGCCUGAUGCAGCAACGCCGCGUGCGGGAUGACGGCCUUCGGGUUGUAAACCGCUUUCGCCUGUGACGAAGCGUGAGUGACGGUAAUGGGUAAAGAAGCACCGGCUAACUACGUGCCAGCAGCCGCGGUGAUACGUAGGGUGCGAGCGUUGUCCGGAUUUAUUGGGCGUAAAGGGCUCGUAGGUGGUUGAUCGCGUCGGAAGUGUAAUCUUGGGGCUUAACCCUGAGCGUGCUUUCGAUACGGGCUGACUUGAGGAAGGUAGGGGAGAAUGGAAUUCCUGGUGGAGCGGUGGAAUGCGCAGAUAUCAGGAGGAACACCAGUGGCGAAGGCGGUUCUCUGGGCCUUUCCUGACGCUGAGGAGCGAAAGCGUGGGGAGCGAACAGGCUUAGAUACCCUGGUAGUCCACGCUGUAAACGGUGGGUACUAGGUGUGGGGUCCAUUCCACGGGUUCCGUGCCGUAGCUAACGCUUUAAGUACCCCGCCUGGGGAGUACGGCCGCAAGGCUAAAACUCAAAGGAAUCGACGGGGCCCCGCACAAGCGGCGGAGCAUGCGGAUUAAUUCGAUGCAACGCGUAGAACCUUACCUGGGUUUGACAUGGAUCGGGAGUGCUCAGAGAUGGGUGUGCCUCUUUUGGGGUCGGUUCACAGGUGGUGCAUGGCUGUCGUCAGCUCGUGUCGUGAGAUGUUGGGUUAAGUCCCGCAACGAGCGCAACCCUUGUUCACUGUUGCCAGCACGUUAUGGUGGGGACUCAGUGGAGACCGCCGGGGUCAACUCGGAGGAAGGUGGGGAUGACGUCAAGUCAUCAUGCCCCUUAUGUCCAGGGCUUCACGCAUGCUACAAUGGCUGGUACAGAGAGUGGCGAGCCUGUGAGGGUGAGCGAAUCUCGGAAAGCCGGUCUCAGUUCGGAUUGGGGUCUGCAACUCGACCUCAUGAAGUCGGAGUCGCUAGUAAUCGCAGAUCAGCAACGCUGCGGUGAAUACGUUCCCGGGGCU